AGAAUCAACGCUGGCGGCGUGCCUAACACAUGCAAGUCGAACGAGAAAGGGUAGCAAUACCUGAGUAAAGUGGCGCACGGGUGAGUAACACGUGACUAACCUACCUUUUAGUGGGGGGAUAACCUAGGGAAACCUGGGCUAAUACCGCAUAAUACCGAGAGGUCAAAGGAGCAAUUCGCUUUAGGAGGGGGUCGCGGCCGAUUAGUUAGUUGGCGGGGUAAUGGCCCACCAAGACUAUGAUCGGUAUCCGGCCUGAGAGGGCGCACGGACACACUGGAACUGAAACACGGUCCAGACUCCUACGGGAGGCAGCAGUGGGGAAUUUUGCGCAAUGGGGGAAACCUGACGCAGCAACGCCGCGUGGAGGAUGAAGUCCCUUGGGACGUAAACUCCUUUCGAUCGGGACGAUUAUGACGGUACCGAGAGGAAGAAGCCCCGGCUAACUUCGCGCCAGCAGCCGC
rnacentral:rRNA from 1 species